rnacentral:ncRNA from 1 species
UCCUCAUCAAAAGGGGGCUGGCGCACGCCGGCUGAGAUAGGGCCUAAUGCGGCCCUGACCUUCGAACCUGAUCUGGGUAAUGCCAGCGUAGGGACCACGGCACGUGUACGGCG